rnacentral:rRNA from 1 species
GGUUAAGCGACUAAGCGUACACGGUGGAUGCCCUGGCAGUCAGAGGCGAUGAAGGGCGUGCUAAUCUGCGAUAAGCGCCGGUAAGGUGAUAUGAACCGUUAUAACCGGCGAUACCCGAAUGGGGAAACCCAGUGUGACUCGUCACACUAUCAUUAACUGAAUCCAUAGGUUAAUGAGGCGAACCGGGGGAACUGAAACAUCUAAGUACCCCGAGGAAAAGAAAUCAACCGAGAUUCCCCCAGUAGCGGCGAGCGAACGGGGAGGAGCCCAGAGCCUGAAUCAGCAUGUGUGUUAGUGGAAGCGUCUGGAAAGGCGCGCGAUACAGGGUGACAGCCCCGUACACAAAAGCGCAUGUGCUGUGAGCUCGAUGAGUAGGGCGGGACACGUGGUAUCCUGUCUGAAUAUGGGGGGACCAUCCUCCAAGGCUAAAUACUCCUGACUGACCGAUAGUGAACCAGUACCGUGAGGGAAAGGCGAAAAGAACCCCGGCGAGGGGAGUGAAAAAGAACCUGAAACCGUGUACGUACAAGCAGUGGGAGCACCCUUCGGGGUGUGACUGCGUACCUUUUGUAUAAUGGGUCAGCGACUUAUAUUCUGUAGCAAGGUUAACCGUAUAGGGGAGCCGGAGGGAAACCGAGUCUUAACCGGGCGUUAAGUUGCAGGGUAUAGACCCGAAACCCGGUGAUCUAGCCAUGGGCAGGUUGAAGGUUGGGUAACACUAACUGGAGGACCGAACCGACUAAUGUUGAAAAAUUAGCGGAUGACCUGUGGCUGGGGGUGAAAGGCCAAUCAAACCGGGAGAUAGCUGGUUCUCCCCGAAAGCUAUUUAGGUAGCGCCUCGUGAAUUCAUCUCCGGGGGUAGAGCACUGUUUCGGCUAGGGGGCCAUCCCGGCUUACCAACCCGAUGCAAACUGCGAAUACCGGAGAAUGUUAUCACGGGAGACACACGGCGGGUGCUAACGUCCGUCGUGAAGAGGGAAACAACCCAGACCGCCAGCUAAGGUCCCAAAGUCAUGGUUAAGUGGGAAACGAUGUGGGAAGGCCCAGACAGCCAGGAUGUUGGCUUAGAAGCAGCCAUCAUUUAAAGAAAGCGUAAUAGCUCACUGGUCGAGUCGGCCUGCGCGGAAGAUGUAACGGGGCUAAACCAUGCACCGAAGCUGCGGCAGCGACACUGUGUGUUGUUGGGUAGGGGAGCGUUCUGUAAGCCUGUGAAGGUGGCCUGUGAGGGUUGCUGGAGGUAUCAGAAGUGCGAAUGCUGACAUAAGUAACGAUAAAGCGGGUGAAAAGCCCGCUCGCCGGAAGACCAAGGGUUCCUGUCCAACGUUAAUCGGGGCAGGGUGAGUCGACCCCUAAGGCGAGGCCGAAAGGCGUAGUCGAUGGGAAACGGGUUAAUAUUCCCGUACUUGGUGUUACUGCGAAGGGGGGACGGAGAAGGCUAUGUUGGCCGGGCGACGGUUGUCCCGGUUUAAGCGUGUAGGUGUGUGUUCCAGGUAAAUCCGGUUCACUUUAACACUGAGGCGUGAUGACGAGGCACUACGGUGCUGAAGCAACAAAUGCCCUGCUUCCAGGAAAAGCCUCUAAGCAUCAGGUAACAUCAAAUCGUACCCCAAACCGACACAGGUGGUCAGGUAGAGAAUACCAAGGCGCUUGAGAGAACUCGGGUGAAGGAACUAGGCAAAAUGGUGCCGUAACUUCGGGAGAAGGCACGCUGACACGUAGGUGAAGUGAUUUACUCAUGGAGCUGAAGUCAGUCGAAGAUACCAGCUGGCUGCAACUGUUUAUUAAAAACACAGCACUGUGCAAACACGAAAGUGGACGUAUACGGUGUGACGCCUGCCCGGUGCCGGAAGGUUAAUUGAUGGGGUCAGCGCAAGCGAAGCUCCUGAUCGAAGCCCCGGUAAACGGCGGCCGUAACUAUAACGGUCCUAAGGUAGCGAAAUUCCUUGUCGGGUAAGUUCCGACCUGCACGAAUGGCGUAAUGAUGGCCAGGCUGUCUCCACCCGAGACUCAGUGAAAUUGAACUCGCUGUGAAGAUGCAGUGUACCCGCGGCAAGACGGAAAGACCCCGUGAACCUUUACUAUAGCUUGACACUGAACAUUGAGCCUUGAUGUGUAGGAUAGGUGGGAGGCUUUGAAGUGUGGACGCCAGUCUGCAUGGAGCCGACCUUGAAAUACCACCCUUUAAUGUUUGAUGUUCUAACGUGGACCCGUAAUCCGGGUUGCGGACAGUGUCUGGUGGGUAGUUUGACUGGGGCGGUCUCCUCCUAAAGAGUAACGGAGGAGCACGAAGGUUGGCUAAUCCUGGUCGGACAUCAGGAGGUUAGUGCAAUGGCAUAAGCCAGCUUGACUGCGAGCGUGACGGCGCGAGCAGGUGCGAAAGCAGGUCAUAGUGAUCCGGUGGUUCUGAAUGGAAGGGCCAUCGCUCAACGGAUAAAAGGUACUCCGGGGAUAACAGGCUGAUACCGCCCAAGAGUUCAUAUCGACGGCGGUGUUUGGCACCUCGAUGUCGGCUCAUCACAUCCUGGGGCUGAAGUAGGUCCCAAGGGUAUGGCUGUUCGCCAUUUAAAGUGGUACGCGAGCUGGGUUUAGAACGUCGUGAGACAGUUCGGUCCCUAUCUGCCGUGGGCGCUGGAGAACUGAGGGGGGCUGCUCCUAGUACGAGAGGACCGGAGUGGACGCAUCACUGGUGUUCGGGUUGUCAUGCCAAUGGCACUGCCCGGUAGCUAAAUGCGGAAGAGAUAAGUGCUGAAAGCAUCUAAGCACGAAACUUGCCCCGAGAUGAGUUCUCCCUGAGACUUAGAGUCUCCUGAAGGAACGUUGAAGACGACGACGUUGAUAGGCCGGGUGUGUAAGCGCAGCGAUGCGUUGAGCUAACCGGUACUAAUGAACCGUGAGGCUUAACCUU